rnacentral:lncRNA from 1 species
GUAAGAUAAUAAAGGAAAUAAUACUUUUAUUAAUAAUAACAUUUGUUACAAAACAUUUCUCUUUAAAAUAAACACUGUUUUUUAACAUUCUAUUUAUCAACUGAAGAAAAAUAUAUCACUGUUUUCAACAUUGGUAAUUAUCAGAAAUGUUCCUUGAAGAAUCAUGUGACACUGAAGGACUGGAGGAAUGACGCUGAAAAAUUCAGCUUUGGAUCACAGAAAUAAAUGACAUUUUAAAAUCUAUUCAAAUAGAAAACAGUUAUUUUAAAAUUCUAAUAAUAUUUAACCAUUUUACUGUUGUACUGUAUUUUUGAUCAAAUCAAUGCAGCCUUGGUGAGCAGAAAGAUUACCUUCAAAAGCUUUUUAAUGGCAGUGUGAAUAACCAUGUUUUCUUCUUCUUAAACUAGAUUGCUAUAAUGAAAUUGGCAAAAAACUAUCAGGGGUGUUGUCCGCAAGACACGUAAAGGUAUUCUCUGCCAGAAAUGGAGUGUCAAUACACCUCACAAAACCAAGAUAAACCCCAAAAACACACCCAGAUGCCAAACCUGACCGACAACUACUGCAGAAAACCCUGACGGAGACCGUCACGGGCCCUGGUGCUUACACCACUGACCCAAGACUGAGUUCGACUACUGUGCCAUCAAGCAGUGUGCUGGAGAGAAAGUGCCAAUCAUUGGGCCAACGAGUAAGUCAAAAACAAUGUAUAG